GAUGAACGCCGGCGGUGUGCCUAAUACAUGCAAGUCGAGCGAAUGACGAGGAGCUUGCUCCUCUGAUUUAGCGGCGGACGGGUGAGUAACACGUGGGUAACCUGCCUGUAAGACGGGGAUAACUCCGGGAAACCGGAGCUAAUACCGGAUGAUAACGAGAAGCGCCUGCUUCUUUUUUGAAAGUCGGUUUCGGCUGACGCUUACAGAUGGGCCCGCGGCGCAUUAGCUAGUUGGUGAGGUAACGGCUCACCAAGGCGACGAUGCGUAGCCGACGUGAGAGGGUGAUCGGCCACACUGGGACUGAGACACGGCCCAGACUCCUACGGGAGGCAGCAGUAGGGAAUCUUCGGCAAUGGACGAAAGUCUGACCGAGCAACGCCGCGUGAGCGAUGAAGGCCCUCGGGUCGUAAAGCUCUGUUGUCAGAGAAGAACAAGUACCGGAGUAACUGCCGGUACCUUGACGGUACCUGACCAGAAAGCCACGGCUAACUACGUGCCAGCCGCCGCUGUAAAAC
rnacentral:rRNA from 1 species